GACCAAAAAUGCUGUAACUGAUAUUAUUGAUAUUUAAAUUAAUGUUCAUGGAUUUUUAAGAAACAAAUUGAAGUUUAGUGACUUUAAGUACGCUAAGGACAAGUUUACUGGGUGAAAUUAAACCGUCAUAUGUUCAAACCACAAAAAACAGCUUCAUUGAACGCCCACAAUGCUCCCAUGUAUUAUGAGACCUUUUUAUUUAUUUAUUUAUUUU
rnacentral:misc_RNA from 1 species